AUUGAACGCUGGCGGCAGGCCUAACACAUGCAAGUCGAGCGAGCGGCGGACGGGUGAGUAAUGUCUGGGAAACUGCCUGAUGGAGGGGGGUAACUAAUGGAAACGGUAGCUAAUACCGCAUACUAUCAGAUGUGACAAGAUGGGCUUAGCUAGUAGGUGGGGUAACGGCUUACCAAGGCGACGAUCCCUAGCUGGUCUGAGAGGAUGAACGGGAAAACUGGAACUGAGCCACGGGCCAGACGCCUACGGGAGGCAGCAGUGGGGAAUAUUGCACAAUGGGCGCAAGUCUGAUGCAGCCAUGCCGCGUGUAUGAAGAAGGCCUUCGGGUUGUAAAGCACUUUCAGCGGGGAGGCGUUACCCGCAGAAGAAGCACCGGCUAACUCCGUGCCAGCAGCCGCGGUAAUAC
rnacentral:rRNA from 1 species